UACGUAGGCCCCGAGCGUUGUCCGGAUUUAUUGGGCGUAAAGAGAGCGUAGGCGGCACUACAAGUCUCAUGUGAAAUACCCGGGCUUAACUUGGGGGUUGCAUGGGAAACUGUAGAGCUUGAGUACAGGAGAGGCAAGCGGAAUUCCUAGUGUAGCGGUGAAAUGCAUAGAUAUUAGGAGGAACACCAGUGGCGAAGGCGGCUUGCUGGACUGAAACUGACGCUGAGGCUCGAAAGCGUGGGGAGCAAACAGG
rnacentral:rRNA from 1 species